AUUUGAACGUUGAAAGAAGAUUAGUAUGCAAAAAUUUAUGUUACAGAGAGCGGAGUAGCAUGCUGAAAUACCCGCAGCAAUAAAUUUGCAGAACCUGCUUCUUGAGUCCUGUGUUAAUGCAUAGGCGCUAUUUUUUAGCGUUAUCAAUUCAAGCGGGAUACAUUGCAUUGUAUCCAACUAAGGUGGUACCGCGGAAAUUUGCCCUUUUCGUCCUUUAU
rnacentral:ncRNA from 1 species